rnacentral:rRNA from 1 species
GACGAACGCUGGCGGCGUGCCUAAUACAUGCAAGUCGAACGCAGUGGGGACGGGUGAGUAACACGUGGGUAACCUCCCAUCAGAGGGGAUAACACUUGGAAACAGGUGCUAAACCGAUACUGAUGGAUGGACCCGCGGUGCAUUAUCUACUUGGUGAGGUAACGGCUCACCAACGCCACGAUGCAUACCGGACCUGGGGGGGGGAUCGGCCACAGUGGGAGUGAGAAGAGGCCCAGACUCCGAAGGGAGGAAGCAGGGGGGAAUGUAGGCAAUGGACGAAAGUCUGACCGAGCAACGCCGCGUGAGUGAAGAAGGUUUUCGGAUCGUAAAACUCUUUUGUUAGAGAAGCGGUAUCUAACCAGAAAGCCACGGCUAACUACGUGCCAGCAGCCGCGGUAAUUC